rnacentral:rRNA from 1 species
GACGAACGCUGGCGGCGUGCCUAAUACAUGCAAGUAGAACGCACAGUUUAUACCGUAGCUUGCUACACCAUAAACUGUGAGUUGCGAACGGGUGAGUAACGCGUAGGUAACCUGCCUGGUAGCGGGGGAUAACUAUUGGAAACGAUAGCUAAUACCGCAUAAUAUUAAUUAUUGCAUGAUAAUUGAUUGAAAGAUGCAAUUGCAUCACUACCAGAUGGACCUGCGUUGUAUUAGCUAGUAGGUGAGGUAACGGCUCACCUAGGCGACGAUACAUGGCCGACCUGAGAGGGUGAUCGGCCACACUGGGACUGAGACACGGCCCAGACUCCUACGGGAGGCAGCAGUAGGGAAUCUUCGGCAAUGGACGAAAGUCUGACCGAGCAACGCCGCGUGAGUGAAGAAGGUUUUCGGAUCGUAAAGCUCUGUUGUAAGAGAAGAACGGGUGUGAGAGUGGAAAGUUCACACUGUGACGGUAUCUUACCAGAAAGGGACGGCUAACUACGUG